AUGAAACCAACCGGAAGGGGAAGGGCACAUUCUCUUGGACCUUUGUAUUAGCCCUCAAUGCCUGGAAAAGCGUAGGGGAAGCUAACCAGAUUUAGAUACCUGGUUAGUUCCACGCCCUUAAACGAAGUCCAUAUGGUUGUUGGGAGGGUUUAUUCUUCAGUAACGUAGCAAACGCCGUGAAGUUGAUCGCCUUGAGAAGUACGGCGGCAAGGAUGAAACUCAAAGGAAUUGACGGGGACCCGCACAAGCGGUGGAUGAUGUGGUUUAAUUCGAUGCAACGCGAAAAACCCUUACCUACCCUCGACAUGUCUGGAAUCCUGAAGAGAUUCGGGAGUGCUCGAAAGAGAGCCAGAACACAGGUGCUGCAUGGCCGUCGUCAGCUCGUGUCGUGAGAUGUUGGGUUAAGUCCCGCAACGAGCGCAACCCUUGUCAUUAGUUGCUACGAAAGGGCACUCUAAUGAGACUGCCGGUGACAAACCGGAGGAAGGUGGGGAUGACGUCAGGUCAUCAUGGCCCUUAUGGGUAGGGCUACACACGUCAUACAAUGGCCGGGACAGAGGGCUGCCAACCCGCGAGGGGGAGCUAAUCCCAGAAACCCGGUCGUAGUCCGGAUCGUAGUCUGCAACUCGACUGCGUGAAGUCGGAAUCGCUAGUAAUCGCGGAUCAGCUUGCCGCGGUGAAUACGUUCCCGGGUCUUGUACACACCGCCCGUCACACCAUGGGAGCGGGUUCUGCCAGAAGUAGUUAGCCUAACCGCAAGGGGGGCGAUUACCACGGCAGGGUUCGUGACUGGGGUGAAGUCGUAACAAGG
rnacentral:rRNA from 1 species